rnacentral:rRNA from 1 species
AGGAGUUUGAUCCUGGCUCAGAACGAACGCUGGCGGCGUGCUUAACACAUGCAAGUCGAGUGCGCGUGCCGUAGCAAUACGGUAUGGCGCACGGCGCACGGGUGCGUAACACGUGGGCAAUCUGCCCUUCGAUGGGGAAUAACCUCGCGAAAGCGAGGCUAAUUCCGCAUAACAUUCCUUGGACUUCGGUUCGAGGACUCAAAGCCGUAAGGCGUCGAAGGAGGAGCCCGCGCACGAUUAGCUAGUUGGUAGGGUAACGGCCUACCAAGGCUUUGAUCGUUAGCUGGUCUGAGAGGAUGGCCAGCCACACUGGAACUGAGACACGGUCCAGACUCCUACGGGAGGCAGCAGUGGGGAAUCUUGCACAAUGGGCGAAAGCCUGAUGCAGCGACGCCGCGUGGGGGAUGAAGCAUUUCGGUGCUGUAAACCCCUUUCGACCCGGACGAAUGCCUCGCAAGAGGAGUGACGGUACGGGCUAUAAGAAGCCCCGGCUAACUACGUGCCAGCAGCCGCGGUAGGACGUAGGGGGCCAGCGUUGUUCGGAAUUACUGGGUG